rnacentral:misc_RNA from 1 species
GGGACUACAAGGGUAUCUAAUCCUGUUUGAUCCCCGCGCUUUCGUGCCUCAGCGUCAGUUACGAGCCAGAUGACCGCCUUCGCCACCGGUGUUCCUCCUGAUAUCUACGCAUUUCACCGCUACACCAGGAAUUCCAUCAUCCUCUCUCGCACUCAAGUCCUGCCGUAUCAAAGGCACCCUCCGGGUUAAGCCCGGAUAUUUCACCUCUGACGCACAAGACCGCCUACGCACCCUUUAUACCCAGUGAAUCCGGACAACGCUUGGGUCCUACGUAUUACCGCGGCGGCUGGCACGU